AUGGCCCAUCCUCGGCCUACAUUCGGCGGGGCCACGAGGUUGGCCACAGGGAAUUCUACGUUAAAGACAAGCCAUUGGCAGCCGCCGCCAAAGACGAGGCCUUCAACAACAAAAGGAUCACAUCAUUUAGAUUCCCGAUUCGAUGAUUUUCGAUCCUCCGCCAGGUUUUUCAAACCUGACAGAGUCUCGGGGGCUGCUAUAUACAAGGAUUGCACAACUUUGUUCACAAAAUCCGCUUUAUGGAAAGAAUAUUACAUGGCUUACCUCGAAACCCGUCAGGAGGCCACUGGAGGCUUCCUUCAGUCCGCUGUUAACGGACCAAAUACUUCUCAAAACCAUGUCCAUCAGGGUGUGAUGUUCCGCAAUGAUGGAAGAGCUAUUCACAACCUCCUCCAUCACGCACCCAGUUGCAGCCCGAUCUCCCGUGUUUGUCGCUGGCGGCGGGGCCCCGGCUCCCCCUUCAGUGGAGGGCGGAAUUGA
rnacentral:rRNA from 1 species